rnacentral:sRNA from 1 species
GCUGGGCGCAGUGGCUCACGCCUGUAAUCCCAGCAACUUGGGAGGUCGAGGCAAGAGGAUUGAGAGUUCAAACCAGCCUCAGCAACUUAGCAGAGACCUUGUCUCAA